AUUGAACGCUGGCGGCAUGCUUUACACAUGCAAGUCGAACGGUAACAGCACUUCGGUGGCUGACGAGUGGCGAACGGGUGAGUAAUACAUCGGAACGUGCCUAGUAGUGGGGGAUAACUACUCGAAAGAGUAGCUAAUACCGCAUGAGAUCUAAGGAUGAAAGCAGGGGACCUUCGGGCCUUGCGCUACUAGAGCGGCUGAUGGCAGAUUAGGUAGUUGGUGGGAUAAAAGCUUACCAAGCCGACGAUCUGUAGCUGGUCUGAGAGGACGACCAGCCACACUGGGACUGAGACACGGCCCAGACUCCUAUGGGAGGCAGCAGUGGGGAAUUUUGGACAAUGGGCGCAAGCCUGAUCCAGCAAUGCCGCGUGCAGGAUGAAGGCCUUCGGGUUGUAAACUGCUUUUGUACGGAACGAAAAGCCCUCUUCUAAUACAGGAGGGUCAUGACGGUACCGUAAGAAUAAGCACCGGCUAACUACGUG
rnacentral:rRNA from 1 species